CCUACGGGUGGCAGCAGUGAGGGAUAUUGGACAAUGGGGGAAAGCCUGAACCAGCGAAGCAGCGUGGGUGAAGACGCGCCUAUGCGCGUUAAGCUCUGUCAGCAGGGGAGUAAAUGACGGUACGUGUAGAAGAAGCCCCGGCUAACUACGUGCCAGCAGCCGCGGUAACACGCAGGGGGCCGCAGUUAUACGGAUUUACUGGGUGUUAAGGGGGCGCAGACGGCGAUGCAGGCCAGGUGUGAAAGCCCGGGGCCCAACCCCGGGAUUGCUGUUGAAACUGCGUGUCUGGAGUGCAGUAGGGGCAGGCGGAAUUCCUGGUGUAGCGGUGAAAUGCGUAGAUAUCAGGAGGAACACCGGUGGCGAAGGCGGCCUGCUGGACUGCAACUGACGUUGAGGCCCGAAAGCGUGGGGAGCAAACAGGAUUAGAUACCCGAGUAGUC
rnacentral:rRNA from 1 species